rnacentral:rRNA from 1 species
AAUAGUACGUGAAACCGCUUAGAGGUAAACGGGUGGAGUCGCAAAGUGGUCCGGAUAGAUUCAACCGUUCGAACGAGGUCUGCGAUCAGAUGCUAUACGCACUGGCUUCGUCGUCGACCUUCGCCGAUCGGCGCACUUCUUUCCGGACAGCGUCACGACCGAUUCGGCGCCGGUCAAAAGCUACGCGGGAAGGUGACUCCGACUUCGGUGGGAGUGUUAUAGUCCGCGCUAGCGUCGGCCGGUGCCGGAUCGAGGAAUGGCCGUACCCGCUCGAGCACGGGUCCUCGCUCGACGUCCGUCGUUCGACUGGGCUGGACUGUUACAGUGCUGUCCGACCGCGAUGGGUACGAUCGAGUGCACUCCCGGGUACACAAGGUCAGUGGCGAGUGGUCGGCAAUCCACCCGACCCGUCUUUUAUUUCGGACCAAGGAGUCUAACAUGUGCGCGAGUCGUAGGGCUCUACGAAGGGGGAAGGCGCAGUGAAAGUACAGGUCGGUCUCUAUCGGCUAAGGCGAGAUCCAGCGCCUAGCGUCGUUGGCGCAUCGCCGGCCCCGUCUA